UUAAUUGAAGCCAAAAAGAGGCUUAUCACUGUUAAUGAUAGAACUGAAAGUUUAUUCCAAUUAAA
rnacentral:tRNA from 1 species